rnacentral:rRNA from 1 species
UACGGGGGGAGCAAGCGUUGUUCGGAAUUACUGGGCGUAAAGGGCUCGUAGGCGGCCAACUAAGUCAGACGUGAAAUCCCUCGGCUUAACCGGGGAACUGCAUCUGAUACUGGAUGGCUUGAGUUCGGGAGAGGGAUGCGGAAUUCCAGGUGUAGCGGUGAAAUGCGUAGAUAUCUGGAGGAACACCGGUGGCGAAGGCGGCAUCCUGGACCGACACUGACGCUGAGGAGCGAAAGCCAGGGGAGCAAACGGG